rnacentral:rRNA from 1 species
UUAAAUUGAAGAGUUUGAUCAUGGCUCAGAUUGAACGCUGGCGGCAGGCCUAACACAUGCAAGUCGAACGGUAACAGGAAGCAGCUUGCUGCUUUGCUGACGAGUGGCGGACGGGUGAGUAAUGUCUGGGAAACUGCCUGAUGGAGGGGGAUAACUACUGGAAACGGUAGCUAAUACCGCAUAACGUCGCAAGACCAAAGAGGGGGACCUUCGGGCCUCUUGCCAUCGGAUGUGCCCAGAUGGGAUUAGCUAGUAGGUGGGG